UUAAGCGACUAAGCGUACACGGUGGAUGCCCUGGCAGUCAGAGGCGAUGAAGGACGUGCUAAUCUGCGAUAAGCGUCGGUAAGGUGAUAUGAACCGUUAUAACCGGCGAUUUCCGAAUGGGGAAACCCAGUGUGUUUCGACACACUAUCAUUAACUGAAUCCAUAGGUUAAUGAGGCGAACCGGGGGAACUGAAACAUCUAAGUACCCCGAGGAAAAGAAAUCAACCGAGAUUCCCCCAGUAGCGGCGAGCGAACGGGGAGCAGCCCAGAGCCUGAAUCAGUGUGUGUGUUAGUGGAAGCGUCUGGAAAGGCGCGCGAUACAGGGUGACAGCCCCGUACACAAAAAUGCACAUGCUGUGAGCUCGAUGAGUAGGGCGGGACACGUGGUAUCCUGUCUGAAUAUGGGGGGACCAUCCUCCAAGGCUAAAUACUCCUGACUGACCGAUAGUGAACCAGUACCGUGAGGGAAAGGCGAAAAGAACCCCGGCGAGGGGAGUGAAAAAGAACCUGAAACCGUGUACGUACAAGCAGUGGGAGCACGCUUAGGCGUGUGACUGCGUACCUUUUGUAUAAUGGGUCAGCGACUUAUAUUCUGUAGCAAGGUUAACCGAAUAGGGGAGCCGAAGGGAAACCGAGUCUUAACUGGGCGUUAAGUUGCAGGGUAUAGACCCGAAACCCGGUGAUCUAGCCAUGGGCAGGUUGAAGGUUGGGUAACACUAACUGGAGGACCGAACCGACUAAUGUUGAAAAAUUAGCGGAUGACUUGUGGCUGGGGGUGAAAGGCCAAUCAAACCGGGAGAUAGCUGGUUCUCCCCGAAAGCUAUUUAGGUAGCGCCUCGUGAAUUCAUCUCCGGGGGUAGAGCACUGUUUCGGCAAGGGGGUCAUCCCGACUUACCAACCCGAUGCAAACUGCGAAUACCGGAGAAUGUUAUCACGGGAGACACACGGCGGGUGCUAACGUCCGUCGUGAAGAGGGAAACAACCCAGACCGCCAGCUAAGGUCCCAAAGUCAUGGUUAAGUGGGAAACGAUGUGGGAAGGCCCAGACAGCCAGGAUGUUGGCUUAGAAGCAGCCAUCAUUUAAAGAAAGCGUAAUAGCUCACUGGUCGAGUCGGCCUGCGCGGAAGAUGUAACGGGGCUAAACCAUGCACCGAAGCUGCGGCAGCGACGCUUAUGCGUUGUUGGGUAGGGGAGCGUUCUGUAAGCCUGCGAAGGUGUGCUGUGAGGCAUGCUGGAGGUAUCAGAAGUGCGAAUGCUGACAUAAGUAACGAUAAAGCGGGUGAAAAGCCCGCUCGCCGGAAGACCAAGGGUUCCUGUCCAACGUUAAUCGGGGCAGGGUGAGUCGACCCCUAAGGCGAGGCCGAAAGGCGUAGUCGAUGGGAAACAGGUUAAUAUUCCUGUACUUGGUGUUACUGCGAAGGGGGGACGGAGAAGGCUAUGUUGGCCGGGCGACGGUUGUCCCGGUUUAAGCGUGUAGGCUGGUUUUCCAGGCAAAUCCGGAAAAUCAAGGCUGAGGCGUGAUGACGAGGCACUACGGUGCUGAAGCAACAAAUGCCCUGCUUCUAGGAAAAGCCUCUAAGCAUCAGGUAACAUCAAAUCGUACCCCAAACCGACACAGGUGGUCAGGUAGAGAAUACCAAGGCGCUUGAGAGAACUCGGGUGAAGGAACUAGGCAAAAUGGUGCCGUAACUUCGGGAGAAGGCACGCUGAUAUGUAGGUGAAGUCCCUCGCGGAUGGAGCUGAAAUCAGUCGAAGAUACCAGCUGGCUGCAACUGUUUAUUAAAAACACAGCACUGUGCAAACACGAAAGUGGACGUAUACGGUGUGACGCCUGCCCGGUGCCGGAAGGUUAAUUGAUGGGGUUAGCCGCAAGGCGAAGCUCUUGAUCGAAGCCCCGGUAAACGGCGGCCGUAACUAUAACGGUCCUAAGGUAGCGAAAUUCCUUGUCGGGUAAGUUCCGACCUGCACGAAUGGCGUAAUGAUGGCCAGGCUGUCUCCACCCGAGACUCAGUGAAAUUGAACUCGCUGUGAAGAUGCAGUGUACCCGCGGCAAGACGGAAAGACCCCGUGAACCUUUACUAUAGCUUGACACUGAACAUUGAGCCUUGAUGUGUAGGAUAGGUGGGAGGCUUUGAAGUGUGGACGCCAGUCUGCAUGGAGCCGACCUUGAAAUACCACCCUUUAAUGUUUGAUGUUCUAACGUUGACCCGUAAUCCGGGUUGCGGACAGUGUCUGGUGGGUAGUUUGACUGGGGCGGUCUCCUCCUAAAGAGUAACGGAGGAGCACGAAGGUUGGCUAAUCCUGGUCGGACAUCAGGAGGUUAGUGCAAUGGCAUAAGCCAGCUUGACUGCGAGCGUGACGGCGCGAGCAGGUGCGAAAGCAGGUCAUAGUGAUCCGGUGGUUCUGAAUGGAAGGGCCAUCGCUCAACGGAUAAAAGGUACUCCGGGGAUAACAGGCUGAUACCGCCCAAGAGUUCAUAUCGACGGCGGUGUUUGGCACCUCGAUGUCGGCUCAUCACAUCCUGGGGCUGAAGUAGGUCCCAAGGGUAUGGCUGUUCGCCAUUUAAAGUGGUACGCGAGCUGGGUUUAGAACGUCGUGAGACAGUUCGGUCCCUAUCUGCCGUGGGCGCUGGAGAACUGAGGGGGGCUGCUCCUAGUACGAGAGGACCGGAGUGGACGCAUCACUGGUGUUCGGGUUGUCAUGCCAAUGGCACUGCCCGGUAGCUAAAUGCGGAAGAGAUAAGUGCUGAAAGCAUCUAAGCACGAAACUUGCCCCGAGAUGAGUUCUCCCUGACCCUUUAAGGGUCCUGAAGGAACGUUGAAGACGACGACGUUGAUAGGCCGGGUGUGUAAGCGCAGCGAUGCGUUGAGCUAACCGGUACUAAUGAACCGUGAGGCUUAACCUU
rnacentral:rRNA from 1 species